rnacentral:tRNA from 2 species
GCGGUGGUGGUGGAAUGGUAGACACGCAAGUUUGAGGGACUUGUGGCCGUACGGCUGUGUGGGUUCAAAUCCCGUUCACCGCA